UAGGGAAUCUUCCGCAAUGGACGCAAGUCUGACGGAGCAACGCCGCGUGAGUGAGGAAGGCCUUCGGGUCGUAAAGCUCUGUUGCCAGGGAAGAAUGGCUUGCAGUUAACUGCUGCAAGUUUGACGGUACCUGAGAAGAAAGCCCCGGCUAACUACGUGCCAGCAGCCGCGGUAAUACGUAGGGGGCAAGCGUUGUCCGGAAUUAUUGGGCGUAAAGGGCGCGCAGGCGGCCGUUUAAGUCUCGUGUUUAAUCCCGGGGCUCAACCCCGGUACGCAUGGGAAACUGGAUGGCUUGAGUGCAGAAGAGGAGAGUGGAAUUCCACGUGUAGCGGUGAAAUGCGUAGAGAUGUGGAGGAACACCAGUGGCGAAGGCGGCUCUCUGGUCUGUAACUGACGCUGAGGCGCGAAAGCGUGGGUAGCGAACA
rnacentral:rRNA from 1 species